UACGUAGGCAGCAAGCGUUGUUCGGAGUUACUGGGCGUAAAGGGUGCGUAGGCGGUUUGCCAAGUUUGGUGUGAAAUCUCCCGGCUUAACUGGGAGGGUGCGCCGAAAACUGGCAGACUCGAGUGGGGGAGAGGAGAGUGGAAUUCCUGGUGUAGCGGUGAAAUGCGUAGAUAUCAGGAGGAACACCGGUGGUGUAGACGGCUCUCUGGACCCUAACUGACGCUGAGGCACGAAAGCGUGGGUAGCAAACAGG
rnacentral:rRNA from 1 species